GAUGAACGCUAGCGGCAGGCCUAACACAUGCAAGUCGAGGGAGAAGCCCUUCGGGGCAGAAACCGGCGCACGGGUGCGUAACGCGUAUGCAACCUACCUUUCACAGGGGGAUAGCCCGAAGAAAUUUGGAUUAAUACCCCAUAAUAUUAUUGGAUGGCAUCAUUUGAUAAUUAAAAUUACGAUGGUGAAAGAUGGGCAUGCGUCCUAUUAGCUAGUUGGAGUGGUAACGGCACCCCAAGGCUACGAUAGGUAGGGGUCCUGAGAGAGAGAUCCCCCACACUGGUACUGAGACAGGGACCAGACUCCUACGGGAGGCAGCAGUGAGGAAUAUUGGUCAAUGGUCGGAAGACUGAACCAGCCAUGCCGCGUGCAGGAAGAAUGCCUUAUGGGUUGUAAACUGCUUUUAUAUGGGAAGAAUAAGGA
rnacentral:rRNA from 1 species